CACCAUGGUGACUUACAAGCAACUCACUGUGCUUUGGUGCCAAACUACCUAAAUUUCUAAUUCAGGAUCGAAAGAUUUCUGGGCAUAGUCAAGUACUUGUGAAGUCGGUGCAUGAGUCAAGAUAGAAUUGACCACUCCAAGAGAUUGGAGAGAAUACUUUGUGUUUCGAUUUAGUUAGACCUUGGCUAGGGCAAUCCUUGUGAGGAGUCACAGGAUUUAUCU
rnacentral:lncRNA from 1 species